rnacentral:rRNA from 1 species
AAAUUGAAGAGUUUGAUCAUGGCUCAGAUUGAACGCUGGCGGCAGGCCUAACACAUGCAAGUCGAACGGUAACAGGAAGCAGCUUGCUGCUUCGCUGACGAGUGGCGGACGGGUGAGUAAUGUCUGGGAAACUGCCUGAUGGAGGGGGAUAACUACUGGAAACGGUAGCUAAUACCGCAUAACGUCGCAAGACCAAAGAGGGGGACUUUCGGGCCUCUUGCCAUCGGAUGUGCCCAGAUGGGAUUAGCUAGUAGGUGGGGUAACGGCUCACC